rnacentral:rRNA from 1 species
GACGUAGGGUCCGAGCGUUGUUCGGAAUUAUUGGGCGUAAAGGGUGCGUAGGCGGUUUGGUAAGUCUGAUGUGAAAUCUAUGGGCUCAACUCAUAGUCUGCAUCAGAAACUGCCGGGCUUGAGUGUGGGAGAGGUGAGUGGAAUUCCUGGUGUAGCGGUGAAAUGCGUAGAUAUCAGGAGGAACACCUGUGGCGAAAGCGGCUCACUGGACCAUAACUGACGCUGAUGCACGAAAGCUAGGGGAGCAAACAGG